AUGACAACAAUGGAGGACCUCAUCGUGGCACAAUCCGGCCAAGAGUUCGCGCCGCCGCAGCCGACGACCAAUAGCUCGCGCCGCCAGGCCACCGUGGCGGGAGCCAAGGCCGCGGCCGUCGCCACCGUCGCUGCCGCAGUACCUACACUGGCGAGCGUGAGGAUGCUGCCGUGGGCGAGGGCGCACCUGAACCCCACAGGCCAGGCGCUCAUCAUCUCCACCGUCGCUGGGAUGGCCUACUUCAUCGUCGCCGACAAGACCAUCCUCUCCAUGGCCAGGAAGCACUCCUUCGACGACGCGCCAGACCACCUCAAGAACACCUCCUUCCACUAA
rnacentral:rRNA from 1 species